rnacentral:misc_RNA from 1 species
GAUGAAGAACACAGCGAAAUGCGAUAAGUAAUGUGAAUUGCAGAAUUCAGUGAAUCAUCGAAUCUUUGAACGCACAUUGCGCCCCCCAGUAUUCUGGCGGGCAUGCCUGUUCGAGCGUCAUUUCAACCAUCAAGCCCUGCUUGUGUUGGGGUCCUGCGGCUGCCCGCAGGCCCUGAAAACCAGUGGCGGGCUCGCUAGUCACACCGAGCGCAGUAGCACAUCUCGCUCAGGGCGUGCGGCGGGCUCCAGCCGUUAAAGCACCCACCUUUCGCAAGGUUGACCUCGGAUCAGGUAGGAAUACCCGCUGAACUUAAGCAUAUCAAUAAGCGGAGGA